UACGUAGGGGGCAAGCGUUGUCCGGAUUUAUUGGGCGUAAAGAGCGUGUAGGCGGUCUGUCGCGUCGGCUGUGAAAUCCCGAGGCUCAACCUCGGGUCUGCAGUCGAUACGGGCAAACUAGAGUAUUGCAGGGGAGACUGGAAUUCCUGGUGUAGCGGUGAAAUGCGCAGAUAUCAGGAGGAACACCGGUGGCGAAGGCGGGUCUCUGGGCCGUAACUGACGCUGAGGAGCGAAAGCGUGGGGAGCAAACAGG
rnacentral:rRNA from 1 species